rnacentral:rRNA from 1 species
AGAGUUUGAUCCUGGCUCAGGAUUAACGCUAGCGGCAGGCCUAAUACAUGCAAGUCGAACGGCAGCACGGGUAGCAAUACCUGGUGGCGAGUGGCGCACGGGUGCGUAACGCGUAUGCAAUCUACCUAUAACUGGGGAAUAGCCUUCCGAAAGGAAGAUUAAUACCGCAUAAUAUCACGAAGCGGCAUCGUUUUGUGAUCAAAACUCCGGUGGUUAUAGAUGAGCAUGCGUGACAUUAGUUAGUUGGUGAGGUAACGGCUCACCAAGACUUCGAUGUCUAGGGGGUCUGAGAGGAUGAUCCCCCACACUGGUACUGAGACACGGACCAGACUCCUACGGGAGGCAGCAGUAAGGAAUAUUGGACAAUGGCCGCAAGGCUGAUCCAGCCAUGCCGCGUGCAGGAUGAAGGUGCUCUGCAUCGUAAACUGCUUUUAUCUGGGAAUAAACCCCUCUACGUGUAGAGGGCUGAAUGUACCAGAAGAAUAAGGGUCGGCUAACUUCGUGCCAGCAGCCGCGGUAAUACGAAGGACCCAAGCGUUAUCCGGAUUUAUUGGGUUUAAAGGGUGCGUAGGCGGCUUAUUAAGUCAGUGGUGAAAGCCUGAAGCUCAACUUCAGAAUUGCCAUUGAUACUGAUGAGCUUGAGUAUAGUUGAGGUGGGCGGAAUGUGUCAUGUAGCGGUGAAAUGCUUAGAUAUGACACAGAACACCGAUUGCGAAGGCAGCUCACUAAGCUAUAACUGACGCUGAUGCACGAAAGCGUGGGGAGCAAACAGGAUUAGAUACCCUGGUAGUCG